ACGAAUCGACUAGGAACAUGAGGUUCGGGUUCGGUCCUGCCUUGCUCAGUGGUUAACGAUCGGCGUUGCCGUGAGCUGUGGUGUAGUCGCAGACAUGGCUCCGAUCCUAUGUUACUGUGGCUCUGACGUAGGCCAGUGGCUACAGCUCCGAUUAGACCCCUACCCUGGGAACCUCCAUAUGCUGGUGGAGCGGCCCUAGAAAAGGCAAAAAGACAAAUAAACAAACAAAUAAAUAAAUAAAAACAUGACUAUUAGAAUCAGGUCUACAGUAAAGAAUCGUAGCUGCCUUACUUAAUAAGAACUCUGUCGCCAUAGGCUAAUUACUCAAGUCUACAUUUAUUCGCCCAUAAGAUAGGAAUAAACUAAAAUAUGUAAACUGCUUAACAUAUGGAAUAGGUUUAAUUGAUGGCAAUUCCUACUAUUUAUAAAUAAAUAGCAAAUAAAUUUGAAAAAUGAUACUAAGAUUAUGUUGGGAAAUAUCUAAGUACUGAAGCGGAUUAUCAUGAGUGUAGAUGACAGAAACAAAUUGGAUUAGAGAUAUAUUUUUACUCAGAUGCUUAUGAUUUUAAAAAUUUUCCUAUUUACAUAUUCUUUGCAGUAAGUAAUCUUAGGUAUUAAUUACACACAGUUUUAAUUGGCAUAAGCUUAUAAAUUCUCAUUAUCUCAUAAUGAUGAAAAAAGAUAAAAGAGUGUCUGGUCUUGAUAAUGUACGAAUAAUGAGAAAUAUUGUGUGCCUUGUUUUACUAAGCAUCAGUUAUUUUUAUGAUGAAUGGAAUUUUAGAUGUCUUAACUAGCUGUUGCCUAAUGCCAUUUACCACCUCUUUUUUGUUUUGUUUUUUAGACAUUACUAGUCUUACAUAAUCUAGAAGCAAAAAACAACAGUGAAAGUUUACCUGUUUUACAUUUUAAGACACUUUCCCAUUCAGUUAUCAUUUGAUUCUCAGAAGCCCCAAGAAAGGAAUGAAGAACUGGUAUGUGGUUUAAUAGUUUGUAGGGAGGUGGCUAAACAACACUUUCCUUCUUACUCCUAAUCUAAUGCUUCUUUUAUAACAUACACACUUAUUUAGAACAUGUUGAAAGUCCAGAAGAUAAGAAUUAAUAUUUUGGCCCAGGUAUGUGGGCAACCCUAUGAACUUGGAGUGAAUAGCUCAGAGACCUUUGAGGGAUCACUACUUCUUUAUAGGUCUAAGCUGAAAGUCAGAGAAACGGUUACGAUAAUAGAAACUGAACAAUUCUCAAAGCAUCAAACAGUGCUGACUCAGCCGAAGACCAGAUAGUACAAGACAUUGAUGCCAGCAAACAGAAAUAGAGUAAGGAAAUACACUAUGCAAUGUCUGGUCUUCCUACAUAAGACAUAAGUAGUCCUGGCUGCAAAGAAAGUUAUAGAAAGAAAACCUUUGGCUUAAGGGAGUGUCAGACUCCUUGCAAAUAUUCUGGAACCAGUGGGUGGUGUGAUGUCAGCCCUGCUUUCCUUUCAGUAGGUAAAUGUCCUCAGUUAUGUAUAGAAUGCAUCCUUUGCACUGUAGUUGAUGUUUUGGGAAAUGGUGGUGUAUAUUCAAAUAUUUCAACACUCCCUUCAAUUUGGAUUCAAAUUUUACUGAAAGUGAUAUUCAUUAAAAGUUUCACACUGUAAUUAGUAAUUUUGUUAUAAACUGUACAAAACGUCUCUCUUAUGUUAAUCUAAUAUCGGUUUAGGCAUUUAAAAAUUUCAAAUUAACAGGAUAACUUAGAUGCAAUACUAAAUUAAGUUCUCUUAUGUAUACAUUAAGGAUAAAACAGCUAGUUACAGUCAGCUAUUAUUUGUGGAAGUAUGCGUAAAGUAUUCUGAGUUUGACUUAACACAUGAUAAAGAAAUUGACAGGUAAGUUUAAAUGCACAUGUAUGUAUGGCCAAUUUGAAAGUAUAUGCUUUAAACAUAGGUAUUUUUGAAUUGUUGUAUUAAAGUGUCUUAUCUAAAGAAAUUUAAACCAAUUUUUUAAAAAUUUAUUUUCUUAAUUUCUAAAGCAAUUAGAUAUUCCUUGUAAAGAAUUCCAGUACAGAACCAUAUAGAACAAAAUGUGACAGUAAGAACUACGCUAAAUUUAGACAAAAAGUACCUCCGGCAAUGAGAGAAUGAGAUUUAGAGGAGGGAAUAAACAGGUCAACAACUUUAUUUGUAAUGCCCAAUUUCCUUAACAAAAGGGAAAGGUAAAAUGAUAAAACGUUUCCAUUGACAAUUAAGGGUGUUAUGUACAUAAAGGUUUUAGUAUUUUUCAAUUUCUCAAAAAGCUUUAAAGAUUUCAAUUAGACGUUAUUACUAUGUGAUUGAGCUUGAUUUAACUUAUUUAACACCCUAUAGAUAUCUGAACUGAACUUUAAAAUAUUUUUUUAAUUCUAGAAACAUCAUUAAUUUGAUACCAAAAAAA
rnacentral:lncRNA from 9 species